UGGGGAAUUUUGGACAAUGGGGGAAACCCUGAUCCAGCCAUCCCGCGUGUGCGAUGAAGGCCUUCGGGUUGUAAAGCACUUUUGGCAGGAAAGAAACGUCGCGGGUUAAUACCCCGCGAAACUGACGGUACCUGCAGAAUAAGCACCGGCUAACUACGUGCCAGCAGCCGCGGUAAUACGUAGGGUGCAAGCGUUAAUCGGAAUUACUGGGCGUAAAGCGUGCGCAGGCGGUUCGGAAAGAAAGAUGUGAAAUCCCAGAGCUUAACUUUGGAACUGCAUUUUUAACUACCGGGCUAGAGUGUGUCAGAGGGAGGUGGAAUUCCGCGUGUAGCAGUGAAAUGCGUAGAUAUGCGGAGGAACACCGAUGGCGAAGGCAGCCUCCUGGGAUAACACUGACGCUCAUGCACGAAAGCGUGGGGAGCAAACAGGAUUAGAUACCCUGGUAGUCCACGCCCUAAACGAUGUCAACUAGCUGUUGGGGCCUUCGGGCCUUGGUGGCGCAGCUAACGCGUGAAGUUGACCGCCUGGGGAGUACGGUCGCAAGAUUAAAACUCAAA
rnacentral:rRNA from 1 species